AUUGAACGCUGGCGGAAUGCUUUACACAUGCAAGUCGAACGGCAGCACGGACUUCGGUCUGGUGGCGAGUGGCGAACGGGUGAGUAAUGUAUCGGAACGUGCCCAGCCGGGGGGGAUAACGUAGUGAAAAUUACGCUAAUACCGCAUACGAUCUAUGGAAGAAAGGGGGGGACCGCAAGACCUCGCGCGAUUGGAGCGGCCGACAUCAGAUUAGGUAGUUGGUGGGGUAAAGGCCCACCAAGCCAACGAUCUGUAGCUGGUCUGAGAGGACGGCCAGCCGCACUGGAACUGAGACACGGUCCAGACACCUACGGGUGGCAGCAGUGGGGAGUUUUGGACAAUGGGCGCAAGCCUGAUCCAGCCGAUCCGCGUGCAGGAUGAAGGCCCUCGGGUUGUAAACUGCUUUUGUACAGAACGAAAAGGUUUCUACUAAUACUAGGAGCUCAUGACGGUACUGUAAGAAUCAGCACCGGCUAACUACGCGCCAGCCACCGCAGUAA
rnacentral:rRNA from 1 species